rnacentral:rRNA from 1 species
UACGUAGGGUGCAAGCGUUGUCCGGAAUUAUUGGGCGUAAAGAGCUCGUAGGCGGUCUGUCGCGUCUGCUGUGAAAACUCAGGGCUUAACCCUGAGCUUGCAGUGGGUACGGGCAGACUAGAGUGCGGUAGGGGAGACUGGAAUUCCUGGUGUAGCGGUGAAAUGCGCAGAUAUCAGGAGGAACACCGGUGGCGAAGGCGGCAUCCUGGACCGGCACUGACGCUGAUGAGCGAAAGCCAGGGGAGCAAACGGG